rnacentral:rRNA from 1 species
ACUCCUACGGGAGGCAGCAGUGGGGAAUAUUGCACAAUGGGCGAAAGCCUGAUGCAGCGACGCCGCGUGAGGGACGACGGCCUUCGGGUUGUAAACCUCUUUCAGUAGGGAACAAGGCAUCAUUUUUGUGGUGUUGAGGGUACUUGCAGAAGAAGCACCGGCUAACUACGUGCCAGCAGCCGCGGUAAUACGUAGGGUGCAAGCGUUAUCCGGAAUUAUUGGGCGUAAAGAGCUCGUAGGCGGUUUGUCGCGUCUGUCGUGAAAGUCCGGGGCUCAACUCCGGAUCUGCGGUGGGUACGGGCAGACUAGAGUGAUGUAGGGGAGACUGGAAUUCCUGGUGUAGCGGUGGAAUGCGCAGAUAUCAGGAGGAACACCGAUGGCGAAGGCAGGUCUCUGGGCAUUAACUGACGCUGAGGAGCGAAAGCAUGGGGAGCGAACAGGAUUAGAUA